rnacentral:rRNA from 1 species
AUUGAACGCUGGCGGCAUGCUUUACACAUGCAAGUCGAACGGUAACAGGCCGCAAGGUGCUGACGAGUGGCGAACGGGUGAGUAAUGCAUCGGAACGUGCCCAGUCGUGGGGGAUAACGCAGCGAAAGCUGCGCUAAUACCGCAUACGAUCUUUGGAUGAAAGCGGGGGACCGUAAGGCCUCGCGCGAUUGGAGCGGCCGUGUUCACAUUAGGUAGUUGGUGGGGGAAAGGCUCACCAAGCCAACGAUCUGUAGCUGGACUGAGAGGACGACCAGGCACACUGGGACUGAGACACGGCCCAGAGUCCUUCGGGAGGAAGCAGGGGGGAAUUUUGGCCAAUGGGCGCAAGCCUGAUCCAGCAAUGCCGCGUGCAGGAAGAAGGCCUUCGGGUUGUAAACUGCUUUUGUACGGAACGAAACGGUCCUGGUUAAUACCUGGGGCUAAUGACGGUACCGUAAGAAUAAGCACCGGCUAACUACGUGCCAGCAGCCGCGGUAAAAC